CAAUAAUGUAUUUCUAAUUGCUACUAUUCUCCACAGAAAUUGCAUUUUAGCAGUUGCAUUUUUCAUUUCUCCUACAAAUAAGACAAAUAAGUGCUGUUUGUGCACUUUUCUUUAUGGUAGUGAAAACAAAGGAAGUAAGAAAAGCUAGCGAGCUGCCAACAUAGACAGCACUUGAAGAAAUCAUAGGCACAAACCCAAUGCUACGGUUGUUUAAAAAGUGGGUCCAUUGGUGGGCAAGUGAGGUACUGCUAAAUUUCUCCAAGUCUGUUCCAGUGAACAAGCAUAUUCAUCUUGGAUGGCCCGAGGAAUCAGUUUCAGCGGAGACUAAUUUGCAUAUUCAUGAGUCCACGUAUACUAAAUGAGUAUUAUCAGACUAUUUUUUAUGUUGGGGAGACAUACUACUGGAGAUAUUACAAAAUAUACUUGAAGAUACACUUGAAGAAAGGAAGUCAUACAUGUUUGAAAAGACAUGAGGACUCCAUUUCACAGACACCCCAGCCUAUGAACUGAUCACGGACUCAUCAGUGACAAUCAGUGGGACUAUUUAAGAUGCACUCUUUCACACACAGAGCUGAGUAUUGUUUGUUUGUUUCGUACCAGCAUUCCUCAGCCUUUCCUAGUUUCUGUGUUUUUGCCUUGCUUGGUCUUUGUUCCAUGACCUUGGACUGUUUCCCUUGUUUUGUUUUUUAUUUGAUUGUUUGCUGCCAGCCCUGACCUUUGCCUGUUUAUUGGAUUACUCUUUUGUCUCACCCUGGAAAUAGAGGAUUUUCACUCACGUCAGAUUUGGUCAAACUCGGAUGUAAACAACAGCAUGGAUUGGAUGGUAAAUGUUCUACUGAAUACGUUGGUAAUUUAUGCUGUCUAAACCACAGAAAAAAUGUGUGGAAGCCGCUAAAUCAUAUAGAGAAGGACUUCAUGAACAGAAAAGGGCACAAUAUUUUGACUAAAGUUAAUAGAUGGCAAAGAUACAUACGAGCAGUAUUAAUUAGGAUAUUAGCCUAAUCCUGGUUCAGUUUGGGCAACCACAAACGCCUUUUGUUCCUCAGACAGUUUUUUGCACUCUUCUCUUUGCUUUGUUAUAACUUUUGGUAAUCUAUUGCCCUUCAAAUGUUUUUCCCAGUCCAACCAAUUAGUACAGCCCAAAACAUGUCAAUAAUUGACCAUUUUCAGCAGCAAUAAUCAGCAAAAUAUGUGAGUUUUGUUUGGUUCAGUGGCAUUGUUUACUUUCCGUGCCGCCAAUAUGGUCGACUGAUGAUGUUGUUUGACCACGCCUGUUUGACUAUGCUC